GAUGAACGCUAGCGGCAGGCCUAAUACAUGCAGGUCGUACGGCAACACAGUUGCGAGCAAUCGCAACCGGUGGCGAGUGGCGCACGGGUGAGUAACGCGUAUGUAACCUACCCUUCUCCGGGACAUAACUCCGCGAAAGCGGUGCUAAUAUCCCAUACCAACUCAUCAAGACAUCUUCUUGAGUUGAAAGCAGCAAUGCGGUGAAGGAUGGGCAUGCGUCCCAUUAGCUGGUUGGUGAGGUAAUGGCCCACCAAGGCUACGAUGGGUAGGGGUUCUGAGAGGAAAGCCCCCCACACUGGUACUGAGACACGGACCAGACUCCUACGGGAGGCAGCAGUAAGGAAUAUUGGGCAAUGGUCGAAAGACUGACCCAGCCAUGCCGCGUGCAGGAUGAAGGCCCUAUGGGUUGUAAACUGCUUUUAGCCGGGAAUAAACACCCGUUUUAUAACGGGCCCGAAGGUACCGGCUGAAUAAGCAUCGGCUAACUCCGUGCCAGCAGCCG
rnacentral:rRNA from 1 species